rnacentral:rRNA from 1 species
GAUGAACGCUAGCGGCAGGCUUAAUACAUGCAAGUCGAGGGGCAGCACAGAUAGCAAUAUUGGGUGGCGACCGGCAAACGGGUGCGGAACACGUACACAACCUUCCUUUUAGUGUGGGAUAGCCCAGAGAAAUUUGGAUUAAUACCACAUAGUAUCUUGGAGUGGCAUCACUUUGAUAUUAAAGAUUUAUCGCUAAAAGAUGGGUGUGCGUAUGAUUAGGUAGCUGGUAGAGGUAACGGCUCACCAAGCCUUCGAUCAUUAACUGGUGUGAGAGCACGACCAGUCACACGGGCACUGAGACACGGGCCCGACUCCUACGGGAGGCAGCAGUAAGGAAUAUUGGUCAAUGGACGGAAGUCUGAACCAGCCAUGCCGCGUGAAGGAUGACGGCCCUCUGGGUUGUAAACUUCUUUUAUGUGGGACGAAAAAGGGCCAUUUUUGGUCAACUGACGGUACCAUAGGAAUAAGCACCGGCUAACUCCGUGCCAGCAGCCGCGGUAA